rnacentral:piRNA from 1 species
UCACUGUGAGGAUGAACAGGAUGACUGUCUGC